CAGACGCAUAGAACUAGGCACAAAGCAACACAGUUUUUUUUAAUUCUUCAGUCUUUUUUUUUUAUAUGAGAGAAAUUCACUGUUGUUCGCAUAAGAGCAGACAUGCAGCCUGGAUGUGCACACUGGCUUCUAACUUGGCAGCGUUUUCAGCUGAGCAGCUACUGCUCGGAGCCUGAGACCCAAAUUCCCUCUGAUGAAGAACAACUGGUUUCCCACCUUGUUUACUAAUAGUUUUUUAUACCACGGUGAUAUACCUGCAAGAAUAGGACAAAGGAGGCGGCACUUCUCACUAUCUGACUGGGGCCUUUGCAACCACUUCACUGCUGAAGCUUUCUAAAUGAGCCAAGGGUCACAUAUAAUAUUGGCAUUAUAGAUCGAUUGUAAGAAACUGCAGCAGUUAGAGCAAAGCUCAAACAAGAAACCAGACUCGCUGACCUAAAUCAAUCCCAGUCCUUCUGGAUACAGGGCAGUCGACUAGCAUUGACACAACCAGCCAUCAAGUGGAGAGUCUCUGGGAUUGCAAUCUGUGUCAGUUGGAGCCUGUGAGAAUGAAACACUCCACUUUCUGUUAUCCACUUGCUUCUUUUUUCUCCUUUUCUUUCCCUGUAAGCAGCUAUUAAUUGUGCUUGGUUUCUAAGUGUAUAUUUGUGUGGAUUAGUCUGUCUGUAGUGCAGUCCUUAUCUGCUCUAGUUGGAAAUCAGGGCACUAAGUCAGCCUGCUUUAACAGUUGUUUCUUUCUGCGUGAUGCUAUGCAACUAGAAUGGGUUACACUGACAACAAAGGAGGAAGCACAAAGCAUCACUUUAUCUUCUGGGCUGUUACAGGAACAUAACUCUUUUUUUUUAUAUGCCGCCCUCUUUUUCUUUUCUGCUUUUUUUUUUUAAAUUUCAUCUAAUCGAAGAGCCUAACAGACAAUCAUCAUGGAUGUGGUUUUUAAUGAUUUGGAAAAGAUAGCCUGUGGAGACUGUGAUUUGAGACAGCAACACAUUUAGGUUAUUGCCAAUUUGAAAUACUUGGUUUGUGAAGCAGAGCCCUAAGGGACAAGCUCAGUAACUGAGAGAAAGAUCGUAGAUAAAGAAAUAAAAAUGACAAGCGUAAUGGAGGUUCUGCAAAAGAGACUGUCAGAGAAUCAGUUCAUGGAUGGCAAUUUCACCAGUCUGAAACUGAAUAAUUCAUAGAAUGAAAUUACCCUGCUUUCACCUUUCCAUUUAAACCGGCAUGAUCUGAAUCUCUAAUAAAUUUUCAAGAUAAAGUAAAACGCCAAUUUGAAUCUAAAGAGCUUUUAAAACCAGAUGCUACAUUCUGAAUCUUUCGAUACCUUUCACAAUUUUCCUGUGAGAACCGCACUUCAUCAUGAAGCACCAUUACCAGUGAAAAUUACUGUGAUUACAAUAGCAACAAUAGAAUAUCAUCAAAUGAUACCUAAUUUUCCUAAUUUACUAAGGCUGACAGUGUGGUUUUAAUGCCCAUCGUGUGUCAUCAUGUCUGGUAUUGGAUCAGUAUCACACUGGAACAAAAAUGUCUUAGUAUAUGCCUCAAUCUUUGCUACUUUUAACUUUGAAAACACAGGAAAAUCUAUAUACCGUGUUAAAAAUUUGCAUUGUAAGCGUGUUUUAAGGAUUAGAUUUUUUGCCAAAUUUGGGACCAGAAAAAAAUUUCCACCUCAUCCCCAUGGCUUGGAUUGUGGUUGGUCCUUUCACUUCCUCUGGAUCAACAAAGAUGGGAUCAUCAGGGAAUAUGUCUUGAUUUGAGAGGCAUGGGCUAUUAUAAUACUAAGCAGGCUCUGAGUCCUCCAUGUGACAAUCCCUUCGCUGAAAUUAGCUUCCUUGAUGAAGUGCUGGAGUCCUGCGGGGCUCAGCUGAAUAUUUCAGUGCUGGGAAUGUAGGCCCAGGGAUUGAAAGCAAUCAAUGGUGAGUUGUGUGAAGCGGAGGGCCUCGUCGAACAUGGAGGCCUUCAGGAGGCAAUUGUCGAGGGGUUUGGAUGCCUAAGGAUGGAAGAGUUGCCCUUGAGUCCUUCAUUGAGUGGAGCACCUCAUUCGUGGUGGAAGCAAAGAGUUUAUCACCAUCAAAAGGGAGAACCUCUAUAGUGUUCUGAACCUCGUGAGGCAAGAGGGAAGAGGAGAGCCAUGAACCUCGGCGCAUGACCACCACUGUAGCGGAUCUUGCUGCGGUAUUGGCUGCAUCCAGAGCUGCUUGAAGAGCCGUGCGUGAUAUGAUUUGGCCCUCGGAAACUAAAGCUGUAAACUGUUGUUUCUUCUGGUCUGGAAUGUGUUCAGUAAAGUCCAUGAACUUGUUAUAGUUUCUAUGGUCGUACUUUCCCAGAAUUGCGGUAUAAUUGGCAAUUUGAAAUUGUAAGGUUGAAGAGGCAUACACUUUGCGACCCAGCAGGUCUAAGCAUUUGCCUUCCUUGUUGGUUGGGGUAUGGCAGAAAUACUGUUGUUUGUUCCUUUGAUUGGCUGCGUCCACUACCAGUGAGUUUGGCGCAGGAUGUGAGAAAAGGAAUUCAGAGCCCUUAGAGGGAAUGAAGUAUUUAUUG